rnacentral:rRNA from 1 species
AGCAGUAGCCGCGGUAAUACAGAGGAUGCAAGCGUUAUCCGGAAUGAUUGGGCGUAAAGCGUCUGUAGGUGGCUUUUCAAGUCCGCCGUCAAAUCCCCGGGCUCAACCCCGGAACUGCCUUUGAAACUAGAUAGCUUGAAUCUUGGAGAGGCGAGUGGAAUUCCGAGUGUAGAGGUGAAAUUCGUAGAUAUUCGGAAGAACACCAGUGGCGAAGGCGACUCGCUGGACAAGUAUUGACGCUGAGGUGCGAAAGCGUGGGGAGCAAACAGGAUUAGAUACCCGCGUAGUCCCUGUCUCUUAUAC